rnacentral:rRNA from 1 species
AUUGAACGCUGGCGGCAGGCCUAACACAUGCAAGUCGAGCGAGAUAUAUAUGAACAAAUCUUCGGAAGAGUGAGUAUAUUGAAAGCGGCGGACGGGUGAGUAACGCGUAGGCAACCUGACUCAUACAGAGGGAUAGCUCCGGGAAACCGGGAUUAAUACCUCAUAACACCAAGAAGUCACAUGGCAACUUGGUCAAAGAUUUAUCGGUAUGAGAUGGGCCUGCGUCUGAUUAGCUAGUUGGUAGGGUAACGGCCUACCAAGGCAACGAUCAGUAGCCGACCUGAGAGGGUGAUCGGCCACACCGGAACUGAGACACGGUCCAGACUCCUACGGGAGGCAGCAGUGGGGAAUAUUGCACAAUGGGCGCAAGCCUGAUGCAGCAACGCCGCGUGAGCGAUGAAGGCCUUCGGGUCGUAAAGCUCUGUCCUAGGGGAAGAAACAUGACGGUACCCUGGGAGGAAGCCCCGGCUAACUACGUGCCAGCAGCCGCAGUAACUAC